GGUGGUACGGAAUCAGAGAAAAAGAGAGAAGAAAUGCAGGGUGCCAUUUCACAGAAACCUGAAGCCCCUUCUAGGGUACUGAGUUUUGAUACAAAUGAAAAAAAUGGAGGGGAAAAAAAGUGGAAAAGCUUUGGUAAGAGUCAAAAGACAGUGUCUUCUGGGACUUCAGGUGUAACCGGCACGUUGGAUUGCAUGGGCAGAACUUACUCUUCAGCCAGGUUUUUGUGUGCUUUAGGCUACAGAUGAUGUGAAUUUUGCUAUGUUAGAAGGAGUGGCUGUGGAAGAUAACCUGUUUGACAGCGUCUGCUACCACAUCACUGUGUGCCAGAGGGGUGAGGAACACCACUUGAGUGCCACCAAAGUGAGUCUGAAGGUCCUGGUGAUGGUGCUGGAAGUCUGCUGCCAAGAACUGCACGGCUCUUCUAAAUGAAGAAUUUGGAAUUAAACAUUUGACUUUUCUUAUUGCUUUGUAAACUGAAAUAGUGCCCAGGGAGCCUUUGCCCUUACCCUUUCAGCUGUGACUUGUCUGUCCUGGCAGCUGCGGUGGCAAAGCUGAGGUUGGAUCCUCAGCUGCCUGCUUGGUGUGGCAGAAGGGCUAACUCUGCUGAGUUUAUACAGCCGUACUUGGACUGGAAGAGGCUUUAUCAUGUGUUUUCCCUCACUUCCCUGUCACUGAACUCCACUGUACUGAAGCUCUGCAGAGGUGUUUCUUCUGUACAGAAUGUCAACAGCACUUAAAUAAAAUUGAUGGCUGAAAGCUGCAGCUGGGAUGAUUUCCUGUUGCUAGUGUGUAAGCAAACAGAGGAGUGAGUAAAUGGUGGCAGCUGAUCACCUAUGGCUUGCUGGUUGUGAAGUGCAGUCUUGGUCUCUUCCCUUCUGAUCAUAUUACGAGAAAGGAACAAGGUAUUCAUGCAUACGCCAGAGCAGCCCUUGCAGAACCACCAGGGGGAAGAGAGAGGCUACACCUACCCUACCUCUAACCUUGGCACCACAGAAAGCUUCCACCUCACUUAACUCCACAGGAUGACAAGCUGGGUUUGUCUUUCCUUCCUUACUGAGAGAGGGGGUAACAAAUUGCUGAGCUUUGACUUGCUCCUGAUGAUGUAAUUCCUUAGCUUUGACCUGGAGCUGAGGAAGCUUGGACAGAAGAACUACAGUUGGAAGUAGUAACAGUAGAAGGUUUUUAUUCUCUUCCUGCCUUCAUCUGCUUUAAAGUGCACCUCUAGAACCCACACAUCCUAAUCUUAAAUCACAUGUGUUCUUUGCACUAAAAUUCCAACUUUACAGAAAAAAUUAGUGUCUAGCAUCCUGAGGAUUUAAAUCUUCUUAAAAACCACUUUAUUUGAAAAUGUUUCAUACAUGUAUAUUACAAAAGUUGGUCUGAUCUCCCUUUAGAACACUAAUGCACAUGAAGAAAGGCGUUCCACACUGUCAGUCUGCUCCCUCCGAGACAAACCAUGUUUAAUGCAGUAGUUGAUCAUCUGCUGUGGUGAUCUCAGUAAAGCACGAGGAUGCGACACAGGUUUUACUUACAGUUGCC